rnacentral:rRNA from 1 species
AUUGAACGCUGGCGGCAUGCCUUACACAUGCAAGUCGAACGGCAGCGGACCUUCGGGUGCCGGCGAGUGGCGAACGGGUGAGUAAAGUAUCGGAACGUACCUUUCAGUGGGGGAUAACGUAGCGAAAGUUACGCUAAUACCGCAUAUUCUGUGAGCAGGAAAGCAGGGGAUCGCAAGACCUUGCGCUGAUUGAGCGGCCGAUAUCAGAUUAGCUAGUUGGUGAGGUAAAGGCUCACCAAGGCGACGAUCUGUAGCGGGUCUGAGAGGAUGAUCCGCCACACUGGAACUGAGACACGGUCCAGACUCCUACGGGAGGCAGCAGUGGGGAAUUUUGGACAAUGGGGGCAACCCUGAUCCAGCCAUGCCGCGUGAGUGAAGAAGGCCUUCGGGUUGUAAAGCUCUUUCGUCCGGGAAGAAAUCGCAUCAGCUAAUACCUGGUGUGGAUGACGGUACCGGAAUAAGAAGCACCGGCUAACUACGUGCCAGCAGCCGCGGUAACAC